GGCUGUUCUAGCAGUUGAGGUGUGGGAGAAGGGACUGUUCUGGUAGAGAAGGGUGGGGAGAAGGGACUGUUCUAAGCAGAUGAUGUGUGUGGGAGAAGGGACUGUUCUGGGCAGAGGAGGUGUGGGAGAAGGGACUGUUCUAGCAGAUGAGGGGUGGGAGAAGGGACUGUUCUAGUAGAUGAGGUGUGGGAGAAGGGACGGUUCUGGCAGAUGAGUGUGGGAGAAGGGACUGUUCUGGCAGAUGAGGUGUGGGAGAAUGGAC
rnacentral:lncRNA from 1 species